rnacentral:rRNA from 1 species
GAUGAACGCUGGCGGCGUGCUUAACACAUGCAAGUCGAACGAUGAAGCCCAGCUUGCUGGGUGGAUUAGUGGCGAACGGGUGAGUAACACGUGAGUAACCUGCCCUUAACUCUGGGAUAAGCCUGGGAAACUGGGUCUAAUACCGGAUAGGAGCGUCCACCGCAUGGUGGGUGUUGGAAAGAUUUAUCGGUUUUGGAUGGACUCGCGGCCUAUCAGCUUGUUGGUGAGGUAAUGGCUCACCAAGGCGACGACGGGUAGCCGGCCUGAGAGGGUGACCGGCCACACUGGGACUGAGACACGGCCCAGACUCCUACGGGAGGCAGCAGUGGGGAAUAUUGCACAAUGGGCGAAAGCCUGAUGCAGCGACGCCGCGUGAGGGAUGACGGCCUUCGGGUUGUAAACCUCUUUCAGUAGGGAAGAAGCGAAAGUGACGGUACCUGCAGAAGAAGCACCGGCUAACUACGUA